GACGAACGCUGGCGGCGCGCCUAACACAUGCAAGUCGAACGGAGCUGAGAGAAGCUUGCUUUUCUUAGCUUAGUGGCGAACGGGUGAGUAACGCGUGAGUAACCUGCCCUGGAGUGGGGGACAACAGUUGGAAACGACUGCUAAUACCGCAUAAGCCCACGAUCCGGCAUCGGAUUGAGGGAAAAGGAUUUAUUCGCUUCAGGAUGGACUCGCGUCCAAUUAGCUAGUUGGUGAGGUAACGGCCCACCAAGGCGACGAUUGGUAGCCGGACUGAGAGGUUGAACGGCCACAUUGGGACUGAGACACGGCCCAGACUCCUACGGGAGGCAGCAGUGGGGGAUAUUGCACAAUGGGGGAAACCCUGAUGCAGCGACGCCGCGUGGAGGAAGAAGGUUUUCGGAUUGUAAACUCCUGUCGUUAGGGACGAUAAUGACGGUACCUAACAAGAAAGCACCGGCUA
rnacentral:rRNA from 1 species